rnacentral:tRNA from 1 species
CUCAGUGGUAGAGUAAUCCCGUGGUAACGGUAACGCGUAAGCCCUCGGUUCAAACCCGACAAGGGGCU